AAGCUCGUAGUUGAAUUUCGGGGUUAGUAGGUUGGUCAUGCCUCUGGUAUGUACUGGUCUCACUGAUUCCUCCUUCCUUAUGAACCGUAAUGCCAUUAAUUUGGUGUUGCGGGGAAUUUGGACUGUUACUUUGAAAAAAUUAGAGUGUUUAAAGCAAGCUAACGCUUGAAUACAUUAGCAUGGAAUAAUGAAAUAGGACGUUCGAUCUUAUUUUGUUUGGUUUUCUUAGGGUUGACGUAAUGAUUAAUAGGGAUAGUUGGG
rnacentral:rRNA from 1 species